UACGAAGGGUGCAAGCGUUACUCGGAAUUACUGGGCGUAAAGUGUGCGUAGGUGGUUCGUUAAGUCUGAUGUGAUAGCCCUGGGCUCAACCUGGGAAUUGCAUUGGAUACUGGCGGGCUAGAGUGCGGUAGAGGAUGGCGGAAUUCCCGGUGUAGCAGUGAAAUGCGUAGAGAUCGGGAGGAACAUCUGUGGCGAAGGCGGCCAUCUGGACCAGCACUGACACUGAGGAGCGAAAGCGUGGGGAGCAAACAGG
rnacentral:rRNA from 1 species